rnacentral:rRNA from 1 species
AUUUACAGUUCAGUCUACCCGAAAGGCACCUGAUUCCAUCUGAUCUUGGAAGCUAAGCAAGGUCAAGCCUGGUUAGUACCUGGAUGAAAGACUGCCAAUGAAUCCUAAGUGUUGUGGGCU